UACGAAGGGUGCAAGCGUUAAUCGGAAUUACUGGGCGUAAAGCGCGCGUAGGUGGUUCGUUAAGUUAGGAGUGAAAGCCCACGGCUCAACCGUGGAAGGUCAUUGGAAACUGGGGAACUUGAGUGCAGAAGAGGAGAGUGGAAUUCCCAGUGUAGCGGUGAAAUGUGUAGAUAUUAGGAGGAACACCAGUUGCGAAGGCGGCUCUCUGGACUGUAACUGACACUGAGGCACGAAAGCGUGGGGAGCAAACAGGAUUAGAUACCCCCGUAGUCCCUGA
rnacentral:rRNA from 1 species